rnacentral:miRNA from 1 species
GAAUCUUGCAGAAUCUGAUCAU